rnacentral:rRNA from 1 species
UACGUAGGGGGCAAGCGUUAUCCGGAUUUACUGGGUGUAAAGGGAGCGUAGACGGCACAGCAAGCCAGAUGUGAAAGCCCGGGGCUCAACCCCGGGACUGCAUUUGGAACUGCUGAGCUAGAGUGUCGGAGAGGCAAGUGGAAUUCCUAGUGUAGCGGUGAAAUGCGUAGAUAUUAGGAGGAACACCAGUGGCGAAGGCGGCUUGCUGGACGAUGACUGACGUUGAGGCUCGAAAGCGUGGGGAGCAAACAGG